CCUUAGCACGCGGGGCACCAAACACACUGCGCGCUCUGUUUGGUCUCCAACACAAGUGCGAAUCAGCAUAAUUGCACUAAUUGCAGCCAAUUUCUUGGUGAAUGGAGUCGCAGGGACAAGAAUAUCUCACGGUCCUUAUGCACGAGAUGAAAGGAACGAAAACACCCCGUGACCGCGGCUAUUCAGCACGCGCGCUGGUUUGUCAUUUAAAAUAGCGCAGAGAUUUUAAGAAUCCAGCUCACGGAACGCGCGGGCAUCUCUUUCACUCGCUACUGGGGAGUGGGAUUCCGGGAGACAAACCGUCAAUCCGUCUCACAGCCACACGUAUUUUUCGGAAGCGCCUAGAGGGGCGAGCACCCCCACCCCCUGCACAUUCCUGCGCGCAUUCCUUCUCGCUCUGAAUGUAUGGCGGUGGCCUGUGUGUUUUCUGUGUGAAACCCGCUGGGGUCUUCUCGGCACGGCCAUUUAAGAUAGGACCCAGUUUAGUCGUCUGGCACGAGGACCUGCUUGUUUGUAGUCAGCAAGAAUCAAAGAAUCAAUCAAGGUUCUUCCAAGCUGUGAAGUGUCUAGUACUCAGGAAGCACCUGUUCUGAGGGCCCUGCCUCUCGGGAAAUACAUCAGCUCUAUCUUUGGAAGAGAACCUGCACUCUCCCAGCUGGAACACGCCUGUAGAGAUGACACAACUGUUGCUUAGGAAACAUGGUUGUGCCAAGGGAUCAACUGCUCCAAAAUACUCACUGUUCACUGCACUCCAUUGGAAAGACCUUUACUGAGACACCUGUUGUGCAUGAGAAACAUAAUGUGGAGGAACCUACUCUUCAGAGUUAUAGUAGUAGCCAUCUGCUGCACCAGAAACAUUAGGUACACAAUAAAAAAAGACUUGGUAUGGUGAACACUCGCUCAAGAAACAUAUCUUUGCAGAUAUUGUUCUCGGUCCUCAGCAGUGGCAUGUAAAGGGACCCAUUUGAGCAGAUGAGCCUGUUCCUUAACCCUUAAAGGAGUAACGUCACACUGGUGUGACGGAAAUGUUGGGAAAUGAACGUUC